CCAUCUCAAAGCCUUCCCUAGACUCUCAGCUACUGCUGACUAUGGAAGAAUAAGCCUGAAUCUCGUGGCAAUUGUGAGCGCCCUGGAGUGUCCUUUGAUUUCAGUAGGACCAGGUGGCAUCGUGUGAUCCGAAGACUUUCAGUGAGGGGUGAGGACUAGCUGACUCUUCUCAGCUCUGGCAUUUUGCGACCUAGCCCACUAAUGGAGGAAGAUUGCACUAGGUCAGUGCUGCCAUUGACGUCUUGUCUGAGACACAUGGGAACACAGUUCUUGGAGCAAUCCAACUGAGGAGAGAAUCAUUUGCUACGUCUGAAACAAUUCUCUUCGUCAAUGUGGGAGAGCAAGGAUUUGCAUUAGCCGACUGUGGUGUUCCUGUGACCCAGUAAGAUACCAAAGGACCAGGCAGACUAAACAAGACAGUAACCUGGGCUUCCGCUGAUAAAUACUUGGCUCCAAGGACUCUGCUUCUCACCCCUGGAUGAACAGGACCCCUCUUCCUGUACCUCUUUUGGAAAUG